UGCCAAGCAACUUCAAAUCCCUACCUCCGCGUGGUACCGGCUGGAAACUACGAGCAACCUUAGGGACGAUCGGUAACCAACCCCGGUGGGAACUUUGGUCGUAGGCUGACAGGGUAGG
rnacentral:ribozyme from 1 species